rnacentral:rRNA from 1 species
AUUGAACGCUGGCGGCAUGCUUUACACAUGCCAGUCGAACGGUAACAGCACUUCGGUGGCUGACGAGUGGCGGACGGGUGAGUAAUACAUCGGAACGUGCCUAGUAGUGGGGGAUAACUACUCGAAAGAGUAGCUAAUACCACAUGAGAUCUAAGGAUGAAAGCCGGGGACCUUCGGGCCUUGCGCUACUAGAGCGGCUGAUGGCAGAUUAGGUAGUUGGUGGGGUAAAAGCUUACCAAGCCGACGAUCUGUAGCUGGUCUGAGAGGACGACCAGCCACACUGGGACUGAGACACGGCCCAGACUCCUACGGGAGGCAGCAGUGGGGAAUGUUGGACAAUGGGCGCAAGCCUGAUCCAGCAAUGCCGCGUGCAGGAUGAAGGCCUUCGGGUUGUAAACUGCGUUUGUACGGAACGAAAAGCUCUCUCCUAAUACAGGAGGGUCAUGACGGUACCGGAAGAAUAAGCACCGGCUAACUACGUG